UCCACUCCCAGUCUCUCUCCUCUCCCUCUCCCUCUCGCCGCCAUCUCUCUCGAUUCUCCGACCUUCUUCCUUUCUUCUCUUCUCCAUUUCUCAAUUUCGCACUCUCCUUUUCGUUCCUUUCUCGAAGCCGUGCAGCGGGUGCCACCAGCUCCAGCGACGAGGUCUCCGACCUUCUCAGCCGGGUGAAAAGACAUUUCCUGAAUAUCUCUAGCCGAGGCGGCUCGUGGAUGGAGAGCCAUUCCUGAAGGCUGAGUAAAUUACGUUGUUGCUCUUGGAUUUACUGGAGGUGGAGGAGGACGAAGAGGAGGGGAAGAGAUUGCUUGAAGUGGGGCAGGAGGGUGGGAGGCAGCGGCCACACCCGGGCAGCUGAACCUCGAUGAGUCUCCCUCGUGGGGAUCGCGGAGCGUCGAUUGCUUCGAGAAGCUCGAGCAGAUCGGUGAGGGCACCUAUGGUCAAGUGUACAUGGCCAGGGAGAUGAAAACAGGCGAGGUUGUUGCUUUGAAAAAGAUACGCAUGGACAAUGAGAGAGAAGUAGUAUGCCCAUUAGCUACUUUACUAUCUAAUAGGACAUGUUAACAUGAUGGAUGCAUUUUAUUUAGUUUUGACUUUUUUUGUUACAAUUGCAGUUUCCUAUAACCACUAUACGUAAAAUCAAAAUUUUAAAGAAACUGCAUCAUGAGAACAUCAUUUAGUUAAAAGACAUCUCCAGGUUCUAUUUCUUCAAUAAGGUAUUCUUCAAUUGUGAUGACUUUAGUUGGUCAUUGAUCUUAUAUUCUCUAUAGCUAAUUACCAGGACCUGAAAAAGAUGAACACGGAUGGCCAGGUAUUUCUUAGUGCAUUUAAAAUUCCAUUAUCAUAUUUUUUCCUUUAUCUGUUACGUUUUGAAACAUUAAUUUUUGUGCAGAUGGCAAUAAAUACAAGAGAAGCAUUUAUAUGGUAUUUGAAUACAUGGACCAUGAUUUGACUGGGUUAUCAGAUAGACCUGGAACGCGGUUUACAGUUCCCCAGAUAAGGGCAAACUUUUCUUUAGCUUAAGAAAUUCAUUUUAACACACUUAAUUGUGGUCAGUACCUCAAUUGAAUAUAUUCUUAUUUAUAUGAAUUCUUCUCACAGUUGGUGUUUUCUACAGUUGCAAAGAACGAUACGUUGGUAGACACUUUAAAGGAAUGCGAUGAUGGAGCCCUCCGUGAACUGAUUAAGGGGGACAUAUCUGCUGGCUUUUUUGAGAAAGUUCUUGAACCGAAGUGCGGUUAGGAUCUUGAGGUCUAGCAGGAGGACUGCUUGGUGGACUAUCACAAUGGAGGGGCUUGCGUUUCAACUUCGUGGUUGUCUCUACGCUGAAAAAGCGAAAUAAAGAAAGAGAUCAGGAGCGUAGAACUGCACUAUAAGAGUUGCUAUUUCCACUUUUUUGGCUCUAGGCUUCUGAGAUCUCCGAGUUGCUAUGGUCUCUCCCAUAUGCUUUCGAAAAGUUUACAGAGUGGUUCCCAUCUGUUAACCAUUGGAUGCCUAACUUUUGAACCUUUUACAAUUCAUUUUUGGGGUAAUAAAUCAUUUUUUCUUAUAAGAAAAAGAACGCUGUAAUUCUUGUUACAAAAAAUUAUACCCUUUAGUUUCAAUUCUUUUUUUCUCAACGCAUGUUCUCCUCUUAGCAUUUACUGUCCAUCGCCCCCAUCACUAAUGGAGUUCCAUAGUUUGGGGUUGCUACCAUCAUUUCAAAAUUCACCUGAUGCUUUUCAUUCACAGCACAUCUCUCUCUCUCUCUCUCUCUCUCUCUCUCUCUCCUCUCUCUCUCUCUCUCUCUCAGACGUUGUGUGUGUGUGUGUGGGUCUUAGUGCUUUUCUCUUGAAGAUAUAUGUUGUGCAUAAAUCAUGGCCAUAAAGAUUCUACUGCAAAGGGUGGAGAAGCUGGGGCUUGACAACAUGUUCUUUUUUUUUUUUCCUUUUCAUUUCUUUGUUCUUUCUUUCCUUUAAAAAGUGUUUGACAGCUAUCAAGCACUGUUCACUGUUAGAGAUAUGCAAAAGGAAUUUCAGCCUACAACGUGAAGCAUGAAAAUAGUUAAACUUCACAAAUCAUCAACGGCAUCGUAUAUCCGAUGAUAAUUCUGGAAUCUAGAGGUAUUCCUCAUUUAUGGUUCUCCCGUUGACAUAUGCACAGCCCGUGGAGAAACCGUAACGAAGGAAUCAAGUUUUCUGAAAUCAGUUUCUUGGGUCCGUGAUAUUCUUGAUGGAGCACUACAGCUUUAAGUUUGCUAAUUGAUGGAAUCAAAUUGUUUCCAAGUCAUUCAUUUUUUUCCCCAGAAAUGCCAAAUGGGAAGUCUGAUUCAUCAAUUUUUAAGUUCCAAAUUUCCUAAUUCUGAUGGUUGUAAGGUUGUCUGGCUUGUAAAAUUUAAAAUACCA